AGAACAGUGCUUUGGGGCAGCAGGUGGGGCAGCAGCUUUGACCCAAGAGCAGCCGAAGCUUCCUGGGGAUGCCGAGAAAACUGAGUGGAGUAGAGGAAAUUGGAGAGAGAAAUGACUAAUUUACUUCAGAUCGAGGCUGUGAAUCCAGAAGCAGGAGUUAUUUCUUAUAUUCAAAUCUUACACAUACAUGAAGACAAGAUGACAACCUAAGAGCUCAGUCCAAAGCUCUGCAGAGCACUUAUGCUCGAACAAAGGCUUCCCGGUUCACUGAAAUAAGGACAGUUCUAUGCAUCCAGCAGGAGAUGUAUAUACAGAGCUGACUAUGAAAUGGCAAUAAUCUGGGAUGUUCUGUGCAUUUUCACAUAUGCAAACACUGGAACUUGUCUCCAUGCCAAGAGUCUCUGGACUGGGGGAUUUGUGCUGUGUAAUUGAAAACAUCAAUUUUAGACAAUAGUAGUUGGCCCAAUAAAAUAAAAAAAGAGGUUGAUUUAUUCAGUGGUAAACAACCACGCCAAGAAAAACGCAGAUGUGAGAGCAGCAUUCUCGUUUUAUUUAUGACUUGCUCAUUCUUAUAUAGCGAUCAGUUUGACUCCACAAAUGUUCAUUUCUUUUAAACUGCUAUUAUGACUCCA